rnacentral:rRNA from 1 species
UAGCAAGUCGACCAAAGGCGAAAGCAGUCAUCAAGGGCACGCCCGUUGAUCAAGAGCGAAAGUUAAGGGUUCGAAGACGAUCAGAUACCGUCGUAGUCUUAACUAUAAAUGAUACAGACCAGGGAUAGGACACUGUCCAUCUCGACUCCUUCUGGACCUUGGAGAAAUUAGAGUCUUUGGGUUCUGGGGGGAGUAUGGUCGCAAGGCUGAAACUUAAAGGAAUUGACGGAAGGGCACACAAAGAGUGGAACCUGCGGCUUAAUUUGACUCAACACGGGAAAACUCACCAGGUCCGGAUACACGUAUGAAAGUCAAGCUGAAAGACUUUACUCAAUGAUGUAAGUGGUGGUGCAUGGUCGUUCUUAGUUCGUGGAUUGAUUUGUCUGGUCUAUUCCGAUAACGAGCGAGACCCCAACGUUCCUAAUAGGGGUGGCAGCCCGCUGGCCGAAAGGUUAGUAGCCGCCGCCUGAGAUUUGCUUCUUAGACGUAUCAGAAUCGAUAAGGUUCUUGAAAUGGGUCAAUAACAGGUCAGUCAUGCCCUUAGAUGUUCUGGGCCGCACGCGCGUUACAAUGGCAUGUAUAGAACGUGCUUCUCAAAGGCGUUUCCGGGGCCGAAAGGCUCUGGUAACCCUUAGUCCCUGCUUUGACUGGGACAGAUCUUUGCAAUUAUUGGUCUCUAACGAGGAAUUUUUAGUAAUCGUAGGUCAUUAACCUGCGAUGAAUGCGUCCCUGCCCUUUGUACACACCGCC